rnacentral:rRNA from 1 species
AUGUCGUUCACUUGCAGGCAUGCGACACUCUACUUCAAAGCCAUGGAAGUCGUGCGGAUGAGGGACGCAAGUGCUGCAUGCUAUGAGCACGUCAAUGUUGCCCUUGAUUCAGUGAUUCAAAGUGCAGCGCCUUUGGCAGAGAAACGGGAUGGACUGGCUUUCGAGGAUCGCGUGAUUCCAACGGCUGAUGUCAGGAUGUCUGCCAACGGCGAGCAAGCAAAUGCUGAUCGUGAGGCCGACCAUUGCCCAAGUGCCGGAAAUUCUUUCAGCACGAAUGCCAUGCAGUGCCUCACAACACCAGAGAAGCGUAGAGGGCCUGGCAGGCCUACAAACAGCAGGGACAAGGCGCCAUAUGAAGGACCGAGUAAGAGAACAAGGUUCUGCAGCAUAUGUCGGCGCGAAGGGCACAAGAAAACGACAUGCCCAGAAAGAGGGGAUAUGCCGAAGAAGCCACAGAAGCCUGGGAAAUGCAAAAACUGCGGGAUAGAAGGGCACCGACGUACCACGUGCACGAGACCACUUGGGUUUGCACAUAAUUGA